rnacentral:rRNA from 1 species
CCUACGGGCGGCAGCAGUGGGGAAUAUUGGGCAAUGGGCGCAAGCCUGACCCAGCAACGCCGCGUGAAGGAAGAAGGCUUUCGGGUUGUAAACUUCUUUUGUCAGGGAAGAGUAGAAGACGGUACCUGACGAAUAAGCCACGGCUAACUCCGUGCCAGCAGCCGCGGUAAUACGUAGGUGGCAAGCGUUUUCCGGAUUUACGGGGUGUAAAGGGCGUGUAGCCGGGUUGACAAGUCAGAUGUGAAAUCCUGCGGCUUAACCGCAGAACUGCAUUUGAAACUGUUGAUCUUGAGUACUGGAGAGGCAGGUGGAAUUCCUAGUGUAGCGGUGAAAUGCGUAGAUAUUAGGAGGAACACCAGUGGCGAAGGCGGUCUGCUGGACAGCAACUGACGGUGAGGCGCGAAAGCGUGGGGAGCAAACAGGAUUAGAUACCCUAGUAGUC